GGGGAUGUGGUCUAGCUUGGUAUGAUUCACGAUUGGGGUUCGUGAGGUCGGGGGUUCGAAUCCUCCCAUCCCCA
rnacentral:tRNA from 1 species